rnacentral:lncRNA from 1 species
GCCUGUUCCGGAGCACAAACAAUUUCUGCUCUGACGCGGGGUCUCUCGGGCCCUGGCGUCCUCUCCUCCCUGCCCCCCCCCCCCCUUCCGGGUACGAGAACUCAAAACAACUCGCUGACCUUCGGGCGGACCAGCUCCGGCUUCCACCGACUCCGGCAUUCCGUUGAAACCCGGCAGCGGCGGCUUCUAAGAUUUCACUCCGCGCUGGGCUGGGGGGAGGGGGUGAUUUCUCCGGGAGGGGGUGUCUCAGAUCGAAAGAGCCACUUCAUGCUCCUUCCUCUCCUCCGAAGUCGCUAGUUGGGCAACCUGAAAUGAGGACAAGUUUCACUUCAAGUUACCUGAAAGUGAACUUUCGCCUUUCCAAUUUGAUUCCUCCAACAUCUGUUGAAUGGCUCUCGGUCCUGGUCUGGAGGGACCAGCAGGACCCUGUGACCUCAACUUGUGGCCAGCCCAGGUUGGAAGCAUCAGGUGAUUUCCAAGGAGGCCACAGACUUCCAUCCCACGUGGCCAGGUCGUAGCAGAGAGCAGCCUUGCCGAAACUCACUUACCCCUUGUGCAGGGGGGCCUGGUGACAAGUGAUGCUGAACUGGAGAGGAAGUGAUGUUGUGGAAACAGUGGCAUUAACUUGGCUUGCAAAGCGCAUCGGAGCCAGAGUUGGGAAAAGCUCGUGCCAGGUGGCAUUCCUAUGGCUUUCCUCCUCCAAGCCCCAAGAAAGCCCAGCCUGGGUCUGAGCAUGGGGAUGGAGUGCACACACAGGUGGCACAAAGCCAGAGGAGCCAUAUUUG